rnacentral:rRNA from 1 species
UACGUAGGGCGCAAGCGUUGUCCGGAAUUAUUGGGCGUAAAGAGCUCGUAGGUGGUCUGUCGCGUCGGCUGUGAAAACUCGGGGCUCAACCCCGAGCCUGCAGUCGAUACGGGCAGACUUGAGUGCGGUAGGGGAGACUGGGAUUCCUGGUGUAGCGGUGAAAUGCGUAGAUAUCUGGAGGAACACCGGUGGCGAAGGCGGCAUCCUGGACCAACACUGACACUGAUGAGCGAAAGCCAGGGGAGCAAACGGG